ACGAGGCUGUGAUGAUGAAAAACCUACCUAUUUUCUGAGGGGAUUUCAUUCUCCCCAUUCUCUGAUUGAGAAAUCUUUACCAAUGGAUCCUUCUGAGCCUCU
rfam:Daucus carota subsp. sativus cultivar DH1 chromosome 3, whole genome shotgun sequence.